rnacentral:lncRNA from 1 species
GUCUAGCUAGUUUUAGCCGGUUUUAUACGUAACCCCUGCAGAAAAAUACGUUAGAGAGCAUCAGUUGGCUAAAAAAUUACCAAAAAUACCAAGCCUUACUGGCUGGGGGUCGCCGACUGCGGCGGCUUCCCUAGUCCUUCUUCGCUGCUAGGGUUCCUUCUUCGACGAACCUGUAUAGAAAAGAAUGGUGAAUAAAAUGAUAAAAAAAUUACGUGAAACGGGAAACGGAAAGG